AAGUCAGUCAGAAAAGUGAUGUCUCAAUGGACAGUAAGAGAAUAGAUCAGGGCGCGGUGUUAACAACAUAGAAAUCACGCAACUACCUCAAUAUUAGUUUAAUCGUUAUUUUAAUAGUGUUUAGUACGUACAUAUAUAAUAUAUGCCUACAGUCGAAAGGGUAGGCAGAGUGUAUCGAUUGCCAUUGCCCCAUUCUGGCACACUUUUUUCACUUCUUCUACCUUCAUCAAUGUACUCAUGCUUUUCCGGCGGUUUGGGUUAUUUUUGAUCUUCUCGACUUGUUAAGAAUGUCAGAUAUAUGCCAUUCAAAGGUUCGGUGCGGUUGAUCCUUACCGAAUUUUCCACCCACACUCGCUAUGUAAAAAUCUUAUCCUCUCGGUCAGUCUGAGUUAGGGUGUAGUAUAUUUGUUAAUUCGUUUACUAAUUUGUCCAAUUUGGUCUUUACUAAAUAUUGUUCAUCUGUUCUAAAAAGAUCAAUAAAAAAAAUAAAAAUGUAAAGUAAUAUGUUAGGUGUUAUUAUUAAGAAUAACAACAUACCAUUGUCCUAUCCCAUAGUAAAAUAGUUACUUACUAUUUAAGAACAAGCGCCUGCUAAAGUAACGACCGAGUGAAAUCUCCUUGGGGUAUGAAAGCACUUAUAGCAAAUUAUAGGUACCUUUUCAAUGGAAACGAACACCCUAUAGUCUUUUUUUGUAUUAGGAAAUUUAACCAUAGAAUCAUAAUAAUAUUUGGGUUCCUCUUCGGCACUAAGUACUUCCUUACCAAGUCAGCCGUCGGAUCGUUAUAUGUAGGUAUCUAGCAGAAAAUAUCAAGCUACUAAUGUCCUGUCCUAUACCUUGUCUUGAAAUAGUAUUACCGAAUUAAAAUUCGGUGUGAAGAUCGAAGAGCGUAUCAUGUCCAUCGCCACUUGUGCCAUGGAGACUGUCAAAUCAAUACAAUUCUACUAUCUAAAUGGUUUAUAGAAAAUUUAUAUUGUACUGAGGACUUGACACGAUUGAACCACUGUAAAAAUACUUUAGCUGUUUAAGCAUCUUCUGUAUUUCGCCUACCUGCCCACAAGCCUCCGUGGCGCAAUGGUUAGCGCGUUCGGCUGUUAACCGAAAGGUUGGUGGUUCGAGCCCACCCGGGGGCGUUCUUUUGAUAAUUUGUGAUUAUUUAUUUUGACCCUGUAAAAUUUAACACAUUAUUUAGAUUCCGACAACACUCUACCAUCAGUUUGCAAAGCAGUUCUCAUCAGAGCAGAAUAAGCUAGAAACUCUAGUAUUCCUCUUUAGAAUAGUAGUAACUGUAUUAUGUAGAUAUUCGUAUACAUUUUGUACGCAACUAGAUAGCAACCAUCAUGAGAUAAAUGGCGAACAUAAUAAAUAAAUAAAAAAAUAAUCGAUGACUCGCCUUUCAGUGUUACCAAAUUUACAUCUAAGUCUAGAUCAGGUGAACAUCAUUUUGCUACUAUCGAGCAAAGUAACAUCUCUCAUAUAUCGAUGUCAUGUUUAGAUUAAAUCGUACUACAUAAUUCAAAUGUAAUUUCGUUGCGCCAGAAUAAAAAUAAAUAUUAGCCAAAUUUCAAACUAUUUUAAAUUUUAAGUCCCCGAAAAUGUUAAUAAUCAAACCAUUAGCAUGCCAAGGAGCUCACAGUAAACUUGUCAGAACAUGCCAUUACAGCUGAAAACAUAAAGCAGUUUAAGAACCGAUUGCACAAAUACAUAGCUACAAUGAAAACCAGUAUUAAUAGCGAGAUACGGGCAUUAUUGUAAUGAUCUUAUGUUUACGCGAAUGAUAGACAUUAAAAUGAAACUAUUUUUCGGAUUUUAUCGCGGUUUUAAUAUUUUAGUUUUCUCCUGAUGUUUCGAAGUCUGUCUUCGUGGUCACGGGGGCGACUGAGGUGUUGUUCAUCCGCAAAUUCAUUUACAAUGCGCCACUUAUCGGGUAUAUAUUUAUUUAAUUUUACAAGUAUAUGGGGUGUAUUACUAACAAUAUUAAUAUAUAAUUCUGAUCGACAAUGUCAAGGGUUGAGCCCACAGGUUACGCUCGCGCACGCGUCCUCCCUUAAACACAGCCAGCUCGGCACUGCGGGAACCUAGGACGACGUCGUGGACGCAGCCCGUAGGCGCGGUGCGGUAAAGGGGCUCGCGUCCAGUUCAGUGCCGAAACAACAGUCCCGUUAUAGAGUUCACUAUAAACUCCCCCUCCAGGUCACAAUCCCGCGCCUACCUACAUUAUACAUUUAUACAACUUUUUAAAUUUUAGCUGUUGGUCCGAUCUACACAGAAUGAUCUCACACGAAACGUCGGAAGAAAACUAAAAUAUUAAAACCACGAUAAAAUCCGAAAAAUAGUUUAAUUUUAAUUAUCGGUUGUCUCAACUGCCUGCCCGAUUAUAUAUUGUUGGAUAUAAAUAUUGUUGUGAGGGUAUUUGUGAUACCUUUUGCUAUAAAAACACACAGCGUUUGACAGACCGAGGCAGUCGUCAAUCAGCAGCGAGCAGUUGUUCAUUACCAGUCCCCGCAGGGACGGCUUCUUGGCAAACCGAAGGUGAAUGGCGACACCGCGUUCCCUGAUUCCGUGUGGACUGGCCGGCUAGGGUUGGGACUCCUCCAGAGUGGAAGUACUCCAUCUGCGUAAGAAUUCGCGUGCUAAUCUACGUGUUAAUUCUAAUUAACAACAAUAUUUACAAGAUCAUUUUGUACGUAAGUUACACUUACAAUUGAAAAUAAUGUAUACUGUUGAUUAUUAUCAUAAUAAAGAUAAAAUGUUGAGAAAUUGUGCUCAAUAAAUAGAUUAUGAUAAAUUUUAUCGAUAAAAUGAUACGUAUCUAAGUGUUUAACUCUUGACAGGUUAUAAUUUACAAUUAUAGACCGGACAUCAAGUGCUCCAAAAUUUUUGCUUAUUUCUACUUAUUAGCAAUUAGUAAUAAGUUGCUGUAUUAUUUAAAAUGUUCGAGUGAUAAGACGUGUCAGUUUCCUUUGUUAAAUAACAUAUUAACAGAAAGGUAGUGCAUGUACAUGUCUAUUAAAACGUGCAAAAUCACA
rnacentral:lncRNA from 1 species